rnacentral:lncRNA from 1 species
UGUUACACCAAUGAAAAAUACUAAUCCACUACCAGGGGCCGUCUAGAAUGUGGAGGCCUCCUAAUUGACAUCCAUGUUCAGGGAUCUGGAUAGGUCCUGUACUGGCCUCCCAGACAGCAUUCUUGGGUCCAUGUGCUCCCCCUUGUACAGGCCAGCUGUUUUUGUGGGUUUCACUAGCCUGGUACUGACCCAUUUGAUCUUCAUUCCUCCCUCUCUGUAACUAAGUUCCAGAGUUCAGUUUAGUGGAUAUCUGUGGGUUUCUGCAUGAGUUUCCAUCAGCCACUGAAUGAAGGCUCUAGGUGGCAUAAAAACUAGUCAUCAGUCUCAUUAUAGGUGAAGGACAUAUAGGUUCUCCUCUCCACCAUUGCCUAGAUUGUCAGUUCAUGUCAUUCUUGUAGGUCUCUGGAAAUCUCCAUAGUGCCAGAUCUCUCCUUGGACCUAUAAUGGCUCCCUCUAAUAUGGUAUCUCUAACCCUGCUAUCCUCUAUUCUUUCCCCAACUGAAUAUUUCUUUUUUUCUAUCUUUUUUAUUUGAGUUAGAAACAGGAUUGUCUUACAUGACAAUCCCAGUUCCCUUCUCCCACCCGUCCUUCCAUACCCCUGCCAACUAAAACCUUAUCUGUCACAUAUAUUUUCUACUCCCCUUGGAUGGUGAGGCCUUCCAUAGGGUGUCAUCAGAGUCUUUCAUAUCCUUUGCGAUAGGGCCCAGGCUCACCCCAUGUUUCUUGGCUCAGGGAGUAUUCCUUUAUAUGGAAUGGGCUCCCAAAGUCCACACCUAUGCAUGGGAUAAAUACUGGGCUUCUACAGGAGGUCCCAUAGAUUUCUGAGGUUUCCUCACAGAAACCCAUGUUCCUGGGGUCUGGAUUAGUCCCAUGCUGGUAUUCUAGCUAUCAGUCUGGGGACCAAGAGCUCCCUGUUGUUCAUGUCAGCUGUUUCUGUGGCUUUCACCAGCCUGGUCUGAACCCCUUUGCUCAUCACUCAUCCUUCACUGCAACUGGAUUCCAGUUCAGCUCAGUGAUUAGUUAUGGGUGUCUGCUUCUACUUCUACAAGCUGCUAGAUGAAGGCAUAUAAGUCAGUCAUCAAUUUCAUAAUCAGGGGAGGGUGGUACCUUUGCACAAUGGAGUACUACUCAGCAGAAAAAAACAAUGGAAUCUUGAAAUUUGCAGGAAAAUGCAUGGACCUAGAAGAAACCAUUCUGAGCGUGGUAACCCAAUUGCAAAAAGACAAACAUGCAAGAACUGGGAUACUUGUUAGACAGCAGGUUCCAAACUCCGAACACUCAGAGGCAUCUCAUCCUCUAUCCUCCGGUCCUGGAAGGCAGGGACUGUUUCCAGUUCCAGUUUGUUGUCGCUGCUCAGAGUCAACUGAUUCAAGCGACCUGCAUGCCAGACCAGUUUGGUGGUGCGUUCCAAACUCCGA